UGAGGAAUAUUGGUCAAUGGACGGAAGUCUGAACCAGCCAAGUAGCGUGCAGGAUGACGGCCCUAUGGGUUGUAAACUGCUUUUGUAUGGGGAUAAAGUCAAUCACGUGUGAUUGUUUGCAGGUACCAUACGAAUAAGGACCGGCUAAUUCCGUGCCAGCAGCCGCGGUAAUACGGAAGGUUCGGGCGUUAUCCGGAUUUAUUGGGUUUAAAGGGAGCGUAGGCCGGAGAUUAAGUGUGUUGUGAAAUGUAGACGCUCAACGUCUGACUUGCAGCGCAUACUGGUUUCCUUGAGUACGCACAACGUUGGCGGAAUUCGUCGUGUAGCGGUGAAAUGCUUAGAUAUGACGAAGAACUCCGAUUGCGAAGGCAGCUGACGGGAGCGCAACUGACGCUUAAGCUCGAAGGUGCGGGUAUCGAACAGGAUUAGAUACCCUGGUAGUCCGCACAGUAAACGAUGGAUGCCCGCUGUUGGUACCUAGUAUCAGCGGCUAAGCGAAAGCAUUAAGCAUCCCACCUGGGGAGUACGCCGGCAACGGUG
rnacentral:rRNA from 1 species